CCUACGGGAGGCAGCAGUGGGGAAUUUUGCGCAAUGGGGGAAACCCUGACGCAGCAACGCCGCGUGAGUGAUGAAGGCCUUCGGGUCGUAAAGCUCUGUCAGAGGGGAAGAAAUGAGAUCGGUUAAUACCCGGUUUUCUUGACGGUACCCUCAAAGGAAGCACCGGCUAACUCCGUGCCAGCAGCCGCGGUAAUACGGAGGGUGCAAGCGUUGUUCGGAUUUAUUGGGCGUAAAGCGCGUGUAGGCGGUCUCUUAAGUCUGAUGUGAAAGCCCUGGGCUCAACCCAGGAAGUGCAUUGGAUACUGGGAGACUUGAAUACGGGAGAGGGUAGUGGAAUUCCUAGUGUAGGAGUGAAAUCCGUAGAUAUUAGGAGGAACACCGGUGGCGAAGGCGGCCACCUGGACCGAUAUUGACGCUGAGACGCGAAAGCGUGGUGAGCAAACAGGAUUAGAUAC
rnacentral:rRNA from 1 species